rnacentral:rRNA from 1 species
AUUGAACGCUGGCGGCAGGCCUAACACAUGCAAGUCGAGCGGGGAAAGGUAGCUUGCUACCUGACCUAGCGGCGGACGGGUGAGUAAUGCUUAGGAAUCUGCCUAUUAGUGGGGGACAACAUCUCGAAAGGGAUGCUAAUACCGCAUACGUCCUACGGGAGAAAGCAGGGGACCUUCGGGCCUUGCGCUAAUAGAUGAGCCUAAGUCGGAUUAGCUAGUUGGUGGGGUAAAGGCCUACCAAGGCGACGAUCUGUAGCGGGUCUGAGUGGAUGAUCCGCCACACUGGGACUGAGACACGGCCCAGACUCCUACGGGAGGCAGCAGUGGGGAAUAUUGGACAAUGGGGGGAACCCUGAUCCAGCCAUGCCGCGUGUGUGAAGAAGGCCUUUUGGUUGUAAAGCACUUUAAGCGAGGAGGAGGCUACCGAGAUUAAUACUCUUGGAUAGUGGACGUUACUCGCAGAAUAAGCACCGGCUAACUCUGUGCCAGCCGCCGCAGUAAGAC